UGCAGUUAAAAAGCUCGUAGUUGGAUUUCUGCUUGAGAGGGACGGCAGGCGUCAUUGACGUUUAGUCUGACUUCUCGUGCAUCCUGCCACGAACCACGUUGCUCUUAAUUGAGUGGCGUCGGGGAUUGGCUCGUUUACUUUGAGAAAAAUAGAGUGUUCAAAGCAGGCUUGCGCAUCUGAAUAAGUUAGCAUGGAAUAAUGAUAAAGGACUUUGGUUCUAUUUGUUGGUGUUCGGAACUGAAGUAAUGAUUGAUAGGGACAGUUGGGGGCAUCAGUAUUCCGAAGCGAGAGGUGAAAUUCUAGGACCUUCGGAAGACUAACCGCUGCGAAAGCGUUUGCCUAGGAUGUUCCCUUUGAUC
rnacentral:rRNA from 1 species